rnacentral:misc_RNA from 1 species
AACGCAUCUUGCGCUCCUUGGUAUUCCGAGGAGCAUGCCUGUUUGAGUGUCAUUUGAGUUCUCAAGGUCAUACUUUUGGUGUGGCUUUGGAUAUGGGGGUUUGCAGGCUUCUGAAAAAUGAAGUCGGCUCCCCUGAAAUGCAUUAGUGGUAUCUGAGCAGAGACUACUUACAGGUGUGAUAAUUAUCUAUCUAUGCCUCGGUAUGCUGCAUUGAACAGAUUGCACCGCUUAUAACAAGUGAAAUUUGACAAGUUUGACCUCAAAUCAGGUAGGACUACCCGCUGAACUUAA